rnacentral:rRNA from 1 species
AUUGAACGCUAGCGGGAUGCCUUACACAUGCAAGUCGAACGGAGUGGAGAACGGGUGAGUAAUGUAUAGGAACGUGCCCAGUAGCGGGGGAUAACUACGAGAAAGCGUAGCUAAUACCGCAUACUAUUGGAGCGGCAGAUUGCGGGUUAGCUAGUGGGGGGGGGAAAGGCUCACCAAGGCGACGAUCCGUAGCUGGUGUGAGAGGACGACCAGCAACACUGGGACUGAGACACGGCCCAGACUCCUACGGGAGGCAGCAGUGGGGAAUUUUGGACAAUGGGGGAAACCCUGACCCAGCCAUCCCGCGUGUGCGAUGAAGGCUUUCGGGUUGUAAAGCACUUUUGGCAGGAAAGCGGUACCUGCAGAAUAAGCACCGGCUAACUACGUGCCAGCAGCCGCGGUAAUUC